rnacentral:rRNA from 1 species
UGGGUCUAAGGGUCCGUAGCCGGUUUGAUCAGUCUUCCGGGAAAUCUGACAGCUCAACUGUUAGGCUUCUGGGGGAUACUGUCAGACUUGGAACCGGGAGAGGUAAGAGGUACUACAGGGGUAGGAGUGAAAUCUUGUAAUCCUUGUGGGACCACCAGUGGCGAAGGCGUCUUACCAGAACGGGUUCGACGGUGAGGGACGAAAGCUGGGGGCACGAACCGGAUUAGAUACCCGGGUAGUCCCAGCCGUAAACGAUGCUCGCUAGGUGUCUGGGAUGGUGCGACCGUUUCAGGUGCCGCAGGGAAGCCGUGAAGCGAGCCACCUGGGAAGUACGGCCGCAAGGCUGAAACUUAAAGGAAUUGGCGGGGGAGCACUACAACGGGUGGAGCCUGCGGUUUAAUUGGACUCAACGCCGGAAAACUCACCUGGGGCGACAGCAAUAUGUAGGUCAGGCUGAAGGUCUUACCUGAAUCGCUGAGAGGAGG